CCUUCCUUUAAGUGAUGACGCGUACUUCUCCAAGAUUCCUUGUUUUUCUUCGUUUGUAAACGAAUUAUCGAAUAUCUCGGUAAAUUUAGAUAUCACCUCAUGACACUGAAUGCAGGGCAUUUAAUGAACUUAAAUGGAAGAGGAAACAGUAAGCUCCAAGAUAUCAGAUUGCACCAGCCUAAUGAUAACUUUGAUUUUAAGAGUUCAUAAGUAAACUUGAUGUCAGUUGAAGACAAUUUCUCUUCCACCAUUCUGUCGACUCUUUCCGAAAGAGCAACCGUAAAGCAAUUUUGAGACCUACCUUCUAAAUCAGCUGUUACAAAAUCACUGAAAGAGUCUCCCAUUAUUCGACGAAAAGCUUCACUCUCUCUCGGGUAAACUUGAUGUCAGUUGAAGAUAAUUUCUCUUCCACCAUUCUGUCGACUCUCCGCGAAAGUGCAACUGUAAAGAAAAGAAGCGACGAUGACAUCAUUUUUCCACGGCUUCCAUUCAUUGUAUGCAUAAUCUACUAAUGCAGGAUUCCCACCAGGUGAUAACUGGUAGUCUUUCCACACAUGGAAUUGCGGAUGAGCAAAUUCUUCUUUAAUAAAGUCUAGUGCAAUAAAAAGCUGCCGCCCGGAUGACAUAACUCUAAACUAUUUCAUCCUGUGAGAAAGUUUAACUGCAAUGCACACAAUUAGGGAAGAUAAAAAUCCAACUUCUUCAUGGUUCUCAGAAGCGGUGACAUUUUACCACCACCGUCAGAUGUUGUCGCCAACGCUGUUAAGAGUCGUGAGGCAUGAUGGCUGCAACUCAAGUUCUUGCAAUGGACGCAAAGAACCUGCUUAAUGUUGUCGACAUAGUCUCGUUUGCAAGCCCUCGCUGGAGCCAGCAACGGCCAUGUCACUUCGAACACCGAGGAACCCAGCGGCGAAAUCUGCGGGACUCGUGUUUUUUCUAUUUUUAUCUUCUAAUAUUUUGAUGAAUUCUAACCAAACUAUCGUAUAGUAGGAUGGGGCAAGAUGGGCCCCUUUUUUUAGAUGAGACUUUUUUAAUUUUCUUUUAACGGACCCCUAUUUAAUGAUAAUUAGGAAAAUAAUGUUACAGAAUUAUUCAACAGUAUUAUCAAGACUUUAUAAAAUGCGCGUCAAAGCUGA